rnacentral:misc_RNA from 1 species
GCGAUAAGGGAUAGGAAAGGAAAAUCAGAAGAGAUGAGAGAAAUCUAUUAUUUGUAUUUUUACAAUUAUAAUGAAAGGAAAGUAUAACAAGGAAUUAAUUACACCUAGAACCACAUUUUGUUUCACUUCAAAUUUGAGGGGAUAACCAGUAUCCCUUUUUCAUGAUUAUAAGAAAUUUUUAAUACGACUAUUUUAUCCAAGGUAUUCCAAACUGUCCAUUGUGACAACAAUAAAACCCUGCCACUGCUGCUUUUUGCUUGCAUCUACAUUCCAUUAU